UUGACCAUGAAGCGACGUGACACCUUCGCCAAACUUCCUUGCUAACAACUCUCAUGAACAUUUUUGUUCCAUAAAACUAUUGCUCUAUUGAGAGAGAGAGAGAGAGAGAGGAGAAGGGAAGCAGAUGAAUAGCGAAUCAGUAUUAAGAAAGCAAAGAAGUAAAUAAUGUUGAGCUCCAAUCUUUUUUCGUUAGUAACAGCCCCUUGACUUAGUCGCUUCCUCGGUUUUAACAGAAGAUAUCGUUUUUCACCGAACAAAACUUCGAGAAGGAGGUCAGAAAAGAUCACGGCGCUCCCGUCGAGUUCUAUGCUCCCUGGUGUGGCCAUUGCAUGCAACUUGCUCUAGUUAGCAAAUGUUUUUUGUAAUGAUCAAGGUGUGGCCAUUGCACGCAACUUGCUUCAGUUAGCAAAUGUUUUUUUGUAAUGAUCAAGACCUAUGAAAAGAUUGCAACAGUAUUUAAGCUGGAGGAAAGAGCAGUGAUUGAUAAUCUUGAUGCUGAAAAUACAAGGAUUUUGCUGAAAAACAAAUGUGGUUGCAGGUAUAAUGUGAGUUGGUAUCCCACUAAAAAAUUCUUUCCAAGUAAUAAGAAACCUGGUGAAGAUUACUGGUGUAAGAGACUCGGAGAAUUUGGUAAAUUUCAUAAAUGAGAAAUGUGGCACAAGCUGUGAUGCAAGAGAGAAUCUCACUUCAAACGUUAGUUGUUCAUAUGUUUUUACAGAUUGGCUGUUGUUUUAUUGUAGACUGGUAUUGUGGCAUCUUUGAACAGCUUUGUUAAGGAGUUUUCAAGUGCUAGCAACAAGAGAAGAAUUCAGUACUUCGCCCUGAUGGAGGAAGAAAUUGGGAUGCUUAAGCGGACCUCUGCAAGAUCUGCUUGAAAACUGGUAAAGAACUUAUGGAGAAAGGUGCGUAUUAUGCCAAUGAUGAAAGAGGCUUGAACGAGUGAAUGCUUGACAAGUGCAGUCAACCAAAGCAGCGAAGGCAGAUGAAUUCACUCUCAAGAAGAACAUCCUGUGUAUCUUUGCAUGAUUACUGGAUGUAGUCACAUCCCUCUGCUAAUGGGCCCCUCUUCAUGGAGUUUCAUCUUCCGCGGCUGUCUACGCCUGACUAAAAAGCGAUUAGGAAUUGGAUACCAGGCAAGGCCACGAGCAAUAAUGAAGCUGGGGACCAUGGUAUUGUCUUGCCAACACGUAUACAUUUAAUUGUGUCACAGAGAUUGAUGGAGGUACUUGGGAACCUGACAUCAGCUCCUGGUGAUUGCAACGAAGGUACUUCUCAAUUGCUUCUGGUAGAUCCUCACUUUAUCUCCUUUUAAUUACCGUGAUGAGAUGUCUUUUGGGUUAAAAAAAUAUAUAAUUUGCUUGAUUGUUGUCUCUUACAUUUUCAUGGAGGACUGAAGAGGCCAUGAAACUGUGUGUGUAUAUAAUAUAUUUAUGGAGAGAAUAAUCAUAAUCAUAAAAAAGAAAGAAAGUCCCAAGAGAGAAGAAGCCAAAAAGAAAUGAAUCCGAUAGGGAUAUGUAAGAUGUAUUAACCACAAAUCUACCACAAGUCCUUGUCUAAUAAUCUCCACACUACUUUAUGUCAAUGUUUCAUGAUCUUCUUUAUGUCAAUGUCUAGGGGACACCAUACCCAAUAUAAUAUAAUAUAAAGAUUUCAAGCCCUC